CUACGGGGCGCUCCAGUGGGGAAUUUUGGACAAUGGGCGAAAGCCUGAUCCAGCCAUUCCGCGUGAGUGAUGAAGGCCUUCGGGUUGUAAAGCUCUUUCGGCCGGGAAGAAAUCGUGCAGGCUAAUAUCCUGCAUGGAUGACGGUACCGGACCAAGAAGCACCGGCUAACUACGUGCCAGCAGCCGCGGUAAUACGUAGGGUGCGAGCGUUAAUCGGAAUUACUGGGCGUAAAGCGUGCGCAGGCGGAUGUUUAAGCCAGAUGUGAAAUCCCCGGGCUUAACCUGGGAAUGGCAUUUGGAACUGGACAUCUAGAGUGUGUCAGAGGGGGGUGGAAUUCCACGUGUAGCAGUGAAAUGCGUAGAGAUGUGGAGGAACACCGAUGGCGAAGGCAGCCCCCUGGGAUAACACUGACGCUCAUGCACGAAAGCGUGGGGAGCAAACAGGAUUAGAUACCCUCGUAGUC
rnacentral:rRNA from 1 species